UGUCGUAACAAGGUUUCCGUAGGUGAACCUGCGGAAGGAUCAUUGACACGAAUCCACAUUCAACUACUGCAUUGAUUGUGAGUCAUGCGCACCUAGCAAUUGACUCGCGGGCUUGGAGCGGCAUGUGCUAUCGGCACGUGUUGGCUUCCUGCCAGGUCGAACCCUUUUUUAACCAUUCUUCUUUCAUAAAUCUUUCAAACAUCUUACAACUUUAGCAAUGGAUGUCUCGGCUCACGUAACGAUGAAGGACGCCGCAAAAUGCGAUAGGCGCUGUGAAUGGCAGAAUUCCGCGAAUCAAGAGAAUGCUGAACGCAUGCUGCGCUUCGAGGUUAAUCCUGGAAGUAUGUCUGGUUGAGGGCAUUUAUACUAUAAUGUGUCCAAAAAUGCAACCUUGGUUGCUAUUUGGUCCACGUUCUUGUGUGUCAGCGACGUGAAAUCCGUUGACGCAUCAAAUAUAGCAAUUGUGCCUUUAAGCUUCCGCUUGGUGCUAGCUUCGGCUUUUCUAGUGGAUUGCGAAAAGGUGCAGUGCUUGAAAGCAUCCGAAAGGGAAACCUUUCAGUUCUUGCAUCAACUCAGAUAAGGCUACCCGCUGAAUUUAAGCAUAUAAGUAAGCGGAGGAAAAGAAAAUGAAAAUGAUUCCCUUAGUAAGGGCGACUGAACCGGGAAGAGCUCAAAUUGUAAAUCAGAGACUUGUCUCUGAAUUGUAGUCUUGAGAAGUACUACCAUCGUGAUCUCCUGCGUAAGUCCCUUUGGAAGAAGGCGUCAGAGAGGGUGAGAAUCCCGUGCUCGUGGCGAGAUCGCGUUGUCGGUGUGCUUUUUUAGAGUCGCGUACUUUGGACGUGGUGCGCUAAAUGGGUGGUAAUGUUCAUCUAAAGCUAAAUAUAGACGUGAGACCGAUAGCAAACAAGUACCGUGAGGGAAAGAUGAAAAGGACUUUGGAAAGAGAGUUAAAAGUGCCUGAAAUUGCUGAGAGGGAAGCGAAUGAAACCAGUGUCUUGUUAUGAGAUUGUUCUUGGCCAAGGGGAAUGCUUUAGUCGGCACCGCAAGGGUCGGCUGGGGUCUGGAACUGGAAGCCUUGGAUGUUUCUCGUAGCUUGGUGCCAACAUAGGUUGGGUGUUCAGAGAAUAUUGCCUUGUGUCAGUUAUUCGCUGCGGUGUUUGCUGGCUCGGGUGGAGAUCUUUACCCCGACUUAGGUAUGCGUUCGGUUUUUACCAUUGCAUAAUCGUUCCGAAGGUUCGCUCGAGUUCUAAACUGGUGUGUUCUUAGGGGCGAUGAGUGGUGUUAUUGCCGAUCCAGGAUGUUGGCGAAAUGGUUUUUUUCUACCCGUCUUGAAACACGGACCAAGGAGUCGACUUCUAUCGCAAGUAUGCGGGUGACAAACCUGUAUGCGGAAUGAAAGUAACAGUUUGGAUUUUUUUGUUUUGCACAAACGACCGACUUUGAUCUUCUGAGAGAGGUUUGAGUAUGAGCGAUAAGGGUCGGACCCGAAAGAUGGUGAACUAUGCGUGA
rnacentral:rRNA from 1 species